GGUAGCGUGGCCGAGCGGUCUAAGCGCUGGUUUAAGGCACCAUUCAUUUCGAUGGCGUGGGUUCGAAUCCCACCGCUGCCA
rfam:Strongylocentrotus purpuratus Contig70409_fixed, whole genome shotgun sequence.